AGGCGUAAGACGAAUUUCACGAGUUUGCCGCGGGUGAGGCUGCGAUUCAAGUGCAACGCGCUAUCUUUUUUUGUGUUUUGUGCGGCGUACAACAGUUCGUGAAGCGAUCUCGAAGACUGGACUUCCGAACUUGACUUGUGCGACGGUGGAAAAACUGCGGUAGAGUGAGACGCGCAGAGGGAUGAUACGAGAACGAAGUGUGGAAUAACGCGGGGGUGGUAGCCCUCUCGGCAUAAGGGUGGUCGCAAACAGAAUGGAGGGGCGCUCUCUCGCAGUGGAAGGAAGCAAGGGUAUGGGGUUGGGUUUCAACCAUGAUUUCCAUUCGCCAGCCAUCCAUCUUGUUUGAGACUGGAAACUGACAGAUAGACGCGGAUCCGAGUGCUGGUGACGUGGCAAGUCUUGCACGCCUGUGUGUGGCUGUGUGCGCUCGAGUGUCAAAGUGCGAUGCACCAAGCAAGCGCUGCCGCGAAAACGGCGCGAAAAUUCGAGAGACUGAGACGCGGCGGCGGUGAAGGAGGCGGCGGCGGCGGCGGCGGCGGCGGCGGCGGUGGAGACGACGGAAGGCGGAAAACAACGGAAAAUAAAGCAACGGAAGAAUCGCGUCGCAGGAAAAAGAAUGAGGGCGCUGUCAGCUGGUGGAAAUUAUUCUGAUUAUGCUAAUUCCGGUUCUGUUCCACUCCUUUACCCAGGCGUCCCCCAGCCCCGUCGCCUCCCUGCUGCUGUCUGCGCCAUCUUUCAUAGGUGAUAUUUAUAAUACAGGGGUGCCCGAGCAGUUUCAAACUCUUUUUGGCCCCCUCUAUCCCUGCCCUACGCGCGCCACCACCAUUUGGCCUUCCAUCGAGCUCUCACCCCGGUCCCUCACCCUAGCACCCUCUUCACCCCCUUUACCCCCACAUCCGCGUACUCUUUCGAUAAAUUUAUUCAUAUUCCGCUCGAAAUCCGUCAGCCGUAAGUCGGUCACAUUACUCCGUGCUGCGCAGUGAAGUUAACUGCAGUCAAUUUUCUCUCGGUGCGAAAAUACAUUCUGAGUUUUCAGACUCGAGGUUCCGCAAGAUUGUGUUUUCGCUUAUCAUGGUAUAAAAAUAUGAAGUGAACGAUUGUUUUCACGGUCCGAGGGAUCCGUCGGGUGUGCUGCUCGCGAAGAUCACACACAUACAAAUUUUGUGCUCCAUUUGUCACAGAGAACCUUUGAGGUUCAGCAUGACUCUUUUCGGAACAUCUCGCGUUUAUGUUGAUACACUUUUUUGUUCUUUUGCAAGUUCUAAAGAAUAUCGACUAAAGAAAAGAUAAAUUUCGCGGCCAAAGAUAUACAGCAUCGAUGCGAAACCUACGAAUGUAUGUGCUCGUAAUCUCUUUCGAGGCAGUAAGUUUUCCUUUUUAAUUAAAGGUGCUUUCUAUUCAUGCCGUAGACCGCCACGCCCGCUGCAAAAGUUACGGUACGUUAUUUCGUACUUCGCGAAAAACGUUAUUUGCGCAAAGCGGUUUGCGGGUAGUUUCGGCGGCGGGCCGAACUGCUCAUCGAUUUCAGAUAAUUACCUUUUACAUAGUAAAUAUUGCGUAUACAUAACGCUCGAAUUUCCACGAAAAAUUCGACUCUUUCCUCUACACACGUAUGUAAGAAUUAAAUUCCUUCUUCUCUGCGAGGAAGGCCGUGUUCGACGUCAAUUAAAGAGAAGGCUCAUCACGGUGAAAUAUUUAUCGAUUGCCCGGGACCGCUAUAUCGCGACUUACUCUAUCCAGACUGAGCAAACGCGUCUAUGCAAAUAAAGCCUAAUGCGUGAAGGGCGAAACGUUUGUCCUGCAUAAAGCAUCGCGUCGUAAAUGUAGUUCACGUUACUUCAUCCAGAACCGCAAAUCCACUUGAAAUUUAAAAGCCUGUAUGUCUGUUAAUUUAGAUAUUUAUAUUAAACAUGACAUCUGUAUACGAUCAAGUUGGUCGGUCGGAGGUUCUGAGGACAAAGUACUUAUAAAAACAAAUGUAAACGAUUAAUCUAAGAGCAGAGCAAAAUAAAUUUUCAUACGUUGAGCGAAGAUCGAUGGAAAUUUCCAUGGAAAACAUCAGCCAGCUGUGGAAAUUCCUACAAAGAGUUCGGAACUUUCCAGCCAACAUACCGACUUAAAUCUGUUCCAGAUGGAUACGACAAAAAUGCAUUUCACAGACGAGAAUGUUCGAUUUCCUUCGAAUUUUGCUUAUAACGAGUAUUACUAAACCCAGCACGACUUAUGUUGCGUCACUCAUUUUCUCUGCAUUGCCUUACGAAUACUUAAAAAAGAUCGAGUUGAAAAAAUAUUCAAUCAAAAUCAUCAUAUAUUCAAUGAGAUCAAGAGAUUGUGAUUUUCACAGAUGGGUACGACAAAAUGUAUUUUGCA